rnacentral:rRNA from 2 species
UGCAAGUCGAACGAACUCUGGUAUUGAUUGGUGCUUGCAUCAUGAUUUACAUUUGAGUGAGUGGCGAACUGGUGAGUAACACGUGGGAAACCUGCCCAGAAGCGGGGGAUAACACCUGGAAACAGAUGCUAAUACCGCAUAACAACUUGGACCGCAUGGUCCGAGCUUGAAAGAUGGCUUCGGCUAUCACUUUUGGAUGGUCCCGCGGCGUAUUAGCUAGAUGGUGGGGUAACGGCUCACCAUGGCAAUGAUACGUAGCCGACCUGAGAGGGUAAUCGGCCACAUUGGGACUGAGACACGGCCCAAACUCCUACGGGAGGCAGCAGUAGGGAAUCUUCCACAAUGGACGAAAGUCUGAUGGAGCAACGCCGCGUGAGUGAAGAAGGGUUUCGGCUCGUAAAACUCUGUUGUUAAAGAAGAACAUAUCUGAGAGUAACUGUUCAGGUAUUGACGGUAUUUAACCAGAAAGCCACGGCUAACUACGUGCCAGCAGCCGCGGUAAUACGUAGGUGGCAAGCGUUGUCCGGAUUUAUUGGGCGUAAAGCGAGCGCAGGCGGUUUUUUAAGUCUGAUGUGAAAGCCUUCGGCUCAACCGAAGAAGUGCAUCGGAAACUGGGAAACUUGAGUGCAGAAGAGGACAGUGGAACUCCAUGUGUAGCGGUGAAAUGCGUAGAUAUAUGGAAGAACACCAGUGGCGAAGGCGGCUGUCUGGUCUGUAACUGACGCUGAGGCUCGAAAGUAUGGGUAGCAAACAGGAUUAGAUACCCUGGUAGUCCAUACCGUAAACGAUGAAUGCUAAGUGUUGGAGGGUUUCCGCCCUUCAGUGCUGCAGCUAACGCAUUAAGCAUUCCGCCUGGGGAGUACGGCCGCAAGGCUGAAACUCAAAGGAAUUGACGGGGGCCCGCACAAGCGGUGGAGCAUGUGGUUUAAUUCGAAGCUACGCGAAGAACCUUACCAGGUCUUGACAUACUAUGCAAAUCUAAGAGAUUAGACGUUCCCUUCGGGGACAUGGAUACAGGUGGUGCAUGGUUGUCGUCAGCUCGUGUCGUGAGAUGUUGGGUUAAGUCCCGCAACGAGCGCAACCCUUAUUAUCAGUUGCCAGCAUUAAGUUGGGCACUCUGGUGAGACUGCCGGUGACAAACCGGAGGAAGGUGGGGAUGACGUCAAAUCAUCAUGCCCCUUAUGACCUGGGCUACACACGUGCUACAAUGGAUGGUACAACGAGUUGCGAACUCGCGAGAGUAAGCUAAUCUCUUAAAGCCAUUCUCAGUUCGGAUUGUAGGCUGCAACUCGCCUACAUGAAGUCGGAAUCGCUAGUAAUCGCGGAUCAGCAUGCCGCGGUGAAUACGUUCCCGGGCCUUGUACACACCGCCCGUCACACCAUGAGAGUUUGUAACACCCAAAGUCGGUGGGGUAACCUUUUAGGAACCAGCCGCCUA